UCGUGAUUUAAUGUAAUUUUUAAUUUUUUAAUUUUUAAAGAUCAUUGUCCUUUCAAGUUAAAAAAACAUUGGCUUAACCCGAUUUGAAGUUUGUACUCAUACAUCAUGCAGUAUAAUGACUUGAAGGGUAAUGUUUUACAUAUGUAUAUUUUAAAGAUUCCAACAUCCAUUAUAUCAUAUCACUAGCAGUAAACGCCUUGUUUUUAAAAAUCUGCUCAAUCCUGCAAAUAUUUCACAUCCUAGAAUUGCUUGACCUAACAGUGCACCUAAAGCUGCCGAAUCGAUUUAUAAUAUGCUGCUAAUUCCACGAAAGCGUAUAAGCGUUUUUCAGGGGUUAAGUCUUCAAGGAAUUGACAAAAUUCAUAAAAAAUGUUACCUGAUUCUUUUCAAUCGAUAAAUAUCCAGUCAGAUCUGAGGAGUAGGCUGAAAUACGCAAAGUGAAUGUUACAUUAGAUUUACAUUGUUCCUUGAGAAACCAUUGAAUUGCAUGUAUAUUAUCUUUUAAGGAAGCAAAUUGCUUGAUUAUAAUGUGUCGCAUACUAAUGUGCCUCUAGUUUCAAUAUUAACAGAAUUAUAGAUUCAUGAAUUAGUUUGCUUUUUUUUUUAGCUAAUUGCAUACAUACACAGGGGCGGAUCCAGGAUUAUUUGAAGGGGGGUCUGGAACGACAGGCCUCGGAUGUGAGGCCGAAAUCGCCCCCUUGAUGUGGGAUUUGGGGCCUGCCCAAGGGCCCCGGAAUUAUUUUUGGUAUGGCACUUAAGGAUUACACGCAAAAACAUUGAGAAAUGAGAAGGUGAGGGAGAUCCUAGGGAAGACAAAGCUCGGUGACAAAGCAAGGGGGUGGAGACUUCACUGCUGUGGGCAUUUUAGACGGCGGGAAGAAAAAUAUGUGGGACAAAAAAAA